rnacentral:lncRNA from 1 species
CGCCGCGUCCCCAACGUCCGCCCGCAGCCACCGUCACCCGACGUGGGACAGAUGUCACCCCAUGGGCCACCAACGUCAUCCGGUGGGCCACCGACGUCACCCAACGGGCCGCCGUCGCUCUUGGGACAGAUGUCGCCUCACGGGCCGCCGGUGUCGCCCUAUGGGCUACCAGGCUCACCCAGCGGGCCACCGGUGUCAUCCAACGGGCCACCGUCGCUCUUGGGACAGAUGUCACUCAAUGGGCCACCAGCGUCACCCAGUGGGCCACCAGCGUCACCCAGCGGGCCACCGGUGUCAUCCAAUGGGCCACCGUUGCUCUUGGGACAGAUGUCACCCAAUGGGCCGCCGAUGUCACCCGGUGGACUACAAGUGUCACCGAAUGGGCCAGUGUCACCCAAUGGGCCACCGAUGUCACCCAGUGGGCCGUCGGUGUCAUCCAGCGGGCCACCAGUGCCACCCAACGGGCCAGUGUCACCCAGCAGGUCAUCAAUGCCACCCAACAGGUCAUCAAUGCCACCCAGUAGGCCAGUGUCACCCAGCGGGCCACCAGCGCCAUCCAACGGGCCACCAGUGUCACCCAACAGGUCAUCAACGUCACCCAACAGGCCGCACAGGCCACCAGUGCCACCCAAUGGGCCAAUGUCACCCAGUGGGCCACCAGUGUCACCCAACGGGUCACUGUCACCCAACGGGCCACCAACGUCACCCUACGGGUCAUCAACGUCACCCAACGGGCCACCAAUGCCACCCAACGGGCCAGUGCCACCUGACGGGCCACCGAUGUCACCCAAUGGGCCAAUGUCACCCAAUGGGCUGUCAGUGCCACCCAACGGGCCAACGCCAGCCCCGAGGAAGCCACCCCCAAUGGAACCGUGGCCACCAACAGUGCCACCAUCAGAGCUGCUGUCCCCAGGAGGUGUCCCCGUGGAUGUCCCCAUGGAUGUCCCCAUGGGUGUCCCCAUGGGUGUCCCCAAGGCCGAUGGUGGCCGGCGCAGCGCCCGCCACGGCCGCGCCAUGCUGAGCUCAUCCCUGCGCCCCACGGCUCCGCCCCACGGCACCGAGCAGCCCCACAUCCAGCAGCUGGACGGGGUGGACGAUGGGGACAAGGGACAGGGGGGACAAGGAGGUGACACCGAGGACCUCCCGUCCGACAUCGUGGAGUUCGUCCUGCGCAACAUGGCGGGCGCCAAAGGCGGCAUGGCGCCCGGCGCCAACGGGGACAGCGCCUGGGGGGCCGGAGGGGACGGCAGGGGACAAGCGGUGGGGACACGGGGUGGGGGUGGCGGGGGGGGCAGCCGGAGCCGUGGGGGUGGCACCCGUGGAGGUGACACCUGGAACCGUGGGGGUGGCACCCAAGGAGGUGGCACCUGGAACCACGGAGGUGGCACCCAUGGAGAUGUCACCCAUGGAGGUGGCAUCUGGAGCCAUGGAGGUGUCACCCACGGAGGUGUCACCUGGAACCACGAAGAUGUCAACCAUGGGGAUGUCACCUGGGGGAGCGUCACCCGUGGAAAUGUCACCCAGAGCCACAGAGAUGUCACCUGGGGAGGUGCCUCCUGGGGUGAUGUCACCCACGGAGGUGUCACCCGUGGAGGUGCCACCCAGAACCAGGGAGAUGUCACCUGUGGAAGUGUCACCUGGGGAGACGUCACCCAGAACCACGUCGGUGAUGGGCACAGAACCGGUGGAGGUGUCACCCAUGGAGGUGUCACCCGUGGAGGUGUCACCCGUGGAGAUGUCACCCAUAACCACGUCACUGAUGGCCAUGGGGCCUGUGGAGGUGUCACCCAUCACGAUGUCACCCGUGGGACCACCGUGGAUGGCAGUGCCACCCACCUGAAUGGCACCCCGAGCUACGGCGAUGUCACCAAUGUCACCCAACACGGUGUCACCCAACAUGGCAUCACCCAACACGGCGUCACCCAUCAUGGUGUCACCCAACAUGGCGUCACCCAUCAUGGUGUCACCACCGUCACCCAUCACGGUGUCACCCAUCAUGGCAUCACCCAACAUGACAUCACCCAACAUGGCGUCACCCAUCACGGUGUCCCCCAUCACGGCGUCACCCAUCACGGUGUCACCCAUCACGGUGUCACCCAUCAUGGCGUCCCCUCCACGUCCCCAGAGGGGCCACCGAAGCGGCACGGUGAUCUGCCAGGACCUGGGGGCAAGAGGGCACGGCUGGAGGCCACCAGCAACGGGGACAGCGCGGCCACCGGGUGAGUGCCAGCGUCACACUUGGGCGCCCGCCAGACUGGGACCCUCCCAGUUGGGCGCCCGUUAUACUGGGACCCUCCCAGUUUGGUUCUCAUCACACCGGGAUCCGCCCAGUUGGGUGCUGUUCAUACUGGGACCAUCCCAGUUGGGCGCCCACCAUACUGGGACCAUUCCAGUUGGGUGCCCGUUAUACUGGGAUCCUCCCAGUUAGGUUCUCAUCAUACUGGGACCCUCCAGUUGGGUGCUGACCAUACUGGGACCCUCCCUGUUGGGUGUCCACCAUGCUGGGACCCUCCCAGUAGAGCACCCACCAUACUGGGACCCUCCCAGUUGGGGGCCCACCAUACUGGGACCCUCCCAGUUAGGUUCUCAUCAUACUGGGAUCCUCCCAGUUGGGUACUGACCAUACUGGGACCCUCCCAGUUGGGUGUCCACCAUACUGGGACCCUCCCAGUAGAGCAUCCACCAUACUGGGACCCUCCCAGUUGGAUGCCCACCAUACUGGGAUCAUCCCAGUUGGGCGCCCGUUAUACUGGGGCCCUCCCAGUUGGGUGCCCACCAUACUGGGACCAUCCCAGUUGGGUGCUGUUCAUACUGGGACCAUCCCAGUUGGGUACCCAUUAUACUGGGAUCAUCCCAGUUGGGCGCCCACUAGACUGGGGUCCUCCCAGUUGGGUGCUGUUCAUACUGGGACUCUUCCAGUUGGGUGCCCACCAUACUGGGACCCUCCCAGUUGGGCGCCCGUUAUACUGGGACCCUCCCAGUUAGGUUCUCAUCAUACUGGGACCGUCCCAGUUGUGUGCUGUUCAUACUGGGACCAUCCCAGUUGGGUGCCC